AAGCAGUGAAAGCAGACUUUCCUUUCCUGUAGUCAACUUUUGCUGCCUAACUUUUAAAACUACAGCUGGUUUGGUGGUAGGGGAAGAAUCUCAUGCGGUGCAUUAGUGCUGAAAUGUAUAAUAAACUUUUUCAAGGAGGAUUCUAGAACAUACCUGUGGAGCUGCAGCUUCUCUUUCUCCAAGCUCUGCCAAAGGUAUGAGCUGUUAUGUAGCAAUUGCAUGUGAAGAGAAGACAGAAUACAAGUUGUUGUCAGAAGAGCCUGUCCUAAACUGGGCCUGAAAAUUCAUCCAGCUGACUCGUGUGAGUAGUCUGAAAGCAAGGGGAAGGAGUGCAUUACUGGGAAACCUUAUCCUGACUUGAGGCACUAAAAUCACAUCUGUCUCUAUCACUUGUAGUGAAGGAGUUUUCAUCCUAGCAGCAGCCUGCCUGGG
rnacentral:lncRNA from 1 species